rnacentral:lncRNA from 1 species
GUGGGGUUCGCCUGGCCCUACAUGAUGACCCGUUGCUAUCUUCCAUUCUUCCUGAUGUGGAUGCGUCUCUGCUUUUUCGGGAUCAUGUGAACAGUAGCACGUUGUGGUGGCUCUUAAAAUCUUAUCGCUUUCCAAUCGGAUGGGCACAUACGCUACUCACUUUUUCAGGUGAGAGUGAUUUUUCUACCUUUUCUGGAAGAGGAGAUACGGCAUGGUUUGGCUCAAUUUCAGGCAUCAUCUCACUCCUCAUUUGGGCCCUAACGCUAAAACACAAACUGAAAAGAAAAAA